GAUGAACGCUAGCGGCAGGCUUAACACAUGCAAGUCGAGGGGUAACAGAGUAGCUUGCUAUUGCUGACGACCGGCGCACGGGUGCGUAACGCGUAUACAAUCUACCUUAUACUGAGGGAUAGGCCAAAGAAAUUUGGAUUAAUACCUCAUAGUAUUUUCCUAACACAUGUUAGGAUUCUUAAAGCUCCGGCGGUAUAAGAUGAGUAUGCGUGAUAUUAGCUAGUUGGUGAGGUAACUGCUCACCAAGGCUACGAUAUCUAGGGGGUCUGAGAGGACUAUCCCCCACACUGGUACUGAGACACGGACCAG
rnacentral:rRNA from 1 species